AGCUCCAAUAGCGUAUAUUAAAGUUGUUGCAGUUAAAAAGCUCGUAGUUGGAUUUCUGGCAGGGUGGCCUUGCCCUCUUGACGAGUGUGCAGUUUUGCCCUUCCAUCCUUCUGUUAACUUUUGAGAGUUUAACGCUCUCCUAAGGGCUCAGAUAUUUUACCUUGAGAAAAUUAGAGUGUUUCAGGCAGGCUAGGCCGGAAUACAUUAGCAUGGAAUAAUGGAAUAGGACUUUUGCCUCUUCUGUUGGUCUGAGGGGUUAGAGUAAUGAUUAAUAGGGAUAGUUGGGGGCAUUAGUACUUUACUGUCAGAGGUGAAAUUCUCGGAUUUGUAAAAGACUAACUUAUGCGAAAGCAUUUGCC
rnacentral:rRNA from 1 species